ACCCACCCACGACCUCUCUCCUCCUAAAGAAACCCACACGACCUCUCUCCUCGCUCGCGCCCCUCCCUCUCCCACGCGGAUGACAAUGGCGACCGCGGCGUGUCCGCUUCCCAUGGUCGUGGCAGUCCUGCCCGCGCAGACAAUUGGGCUUGCAGCGCCUCACCUCCUCGACCUCCCGUUCCGGCGGACCAUCCCUCCGGAAACCGCCAGCAGCUGGAUGCGACCUCAAGUGGCGUCGUCCUUCCCAGAUCUGGGCCAAGCGGCUUUUGCCCUCCCUCUUCGACGGGAGGUGCCCAUCCCGCAAUUUGUCUUCGAGCAGCCGCACCCACCGGGACGCACCUGCUUGCCGGGCUAUGACGCCACCCAUCCCUAAACCGCUGGCGGCGGCGGCAACAAGCCGGCGACGCCUUCGCCAAGGUUGCAGCGAUGGAAACCACACUAGGGUUCCGGGUGCUGUUGGGAGGGGCGAGCGUGCGGCAUGGGCCUCUAGCCUUUGGGACACAUCUCCACACGCAUAAGCUAGGAUCUUGCAGCAGCGGUGGCGGCAAAUGACGCCCCAUCUUCCCUUAGCCGGCGACGGUUGAUCAACGCGGUGACAGCAUGCACUGCCCCUGUCCUUCACAUCUCAAUGUCGCAGUCGUGGCCUUCCUCGUCCAUCAGAGGGGAAUCUUGGUGGGCAACUUCUUCUUCGCCAUGGUUCUCCAGCAACUGCACAAGUAGGUCGGGUCUCUCGGAUUGGUGCCCCGUGGAAUUCAGAUUGUAGGUGAUGUAUGGCGCUGCACAAGAGAGGACAUGUCUAUUGGAAACAACUAAAUUUCUCUGUGCCAUGCUACUGCAUGAACUACCGAAUCCAUAAGCAACUCUACACACAAGAGUUCAGGGUUGAAUAGAGUUGUUCCCUCCACAUGGUUGGAAAUUAAGGUUUUGUGUAUACAAAGUUUCAGUAUUGUUGGCUUGUCAUAUUAUUCGGUGGUCACCUACCCAAGCAACAAGCACGGAUUGUGGAAGAAGUGAAAAAUAUACUAGAGAUUAUAUGUGUUCGAAAUCAAAUGCUAGCCCUAGAAAUAUUAGUCGAACAAGUCGUUCAAAUCGUUAUUUUAGUAAUGUAUAUAAGUCAAUACAACUUUGGUAAUCAAGUUGAUCAAAUUUCUUCUUUUUAUUUACCUUUUUUUCUCUGAACCAUUUUUAUCCUUUUCUUCCUGAAUCACAUAACUAACAUAGUUUAACUAUCAGGUCUUCAGUAUAAACGGACAAAGGAAGAAAUGUUCUUCAAGUCUCAAGCAUUGUUGGGUUCUGACGGUGAGAAUAUCUUUUACAGUGAGCUUUUGGCUAUCCUGGGUGGUGGAAUGGUGCUAGAGGGUUCUCAGUUUAAUGCCAAGUAUUUUGACAGCAAGAUGGUAUAGCUGCAGGCAUUUGGUUUCAGAGUACUGCUUGCUUGGACAACGAUGUAGUUUAUGGACUUUGGAUAGCAACUUCCGUUCCAAGAUUCUGGAGAUCUCUUACCUCUUGAUCGAAGUUCCAUGGGGAUGACGUCCAAAUUCCAAGACUCCUGUUGACAAGAGGUUGAGUACAGAUAUGUCACAUUAUGACAUUUCUGCCAUUAGGACGCACUAUUUUAGAACCCAUUGUGGGUUUGGUCAUUUGUCACCCAUUCUUUUUAAUAUUGGCUUCCCAAAACCCCAUGUAACUAUAUAAUUUGGUAUAAAACAUCAAUGCAUAUUGUCAUUUUGAUUUUGAUAAACAGUUGUUUCCUUA